rnacentral:rRNA from 1 species
AACGAACGCUGGCGGCAGGCCUAACACAUGCAAGUCGAACGCCCUAGCAAUAGGGAGUGGCAGACGGGUGAGUAACACGUGGGAACCUUCCCUAUAGUAUGGAAUAGCCCAGGGAAACUUGGAGUAAUACCGUAUACGCCCGAGAGGGGAAAGAUUUAUCGCUAUAGGAUGGGCCCGCGUAGGAUUAGCUAGUUGGUGAGGUAAUGGCUCACCAAGGCGACGAUCCUUAGCUGGUCUGAGAGGACGACCAGCCACACUGGGACUGAGACACGGCCCAGACUCCUACGGGAGGCAGCAGUGGGGAAUUUUGGACAAUGGGGGCAACCCUGAUCCAGCCAUGCCGCGUGAGUGAAGAAGGCCUUCGGGUUGUAAAGCUCUUUCGGCCGGGAAAAAAUCGCAUCAGUUAAUACCUGGUGUGGAUGAUGGUACCGGAAUAAGAAGCACCGGCUAACUACGUG